GGGCGUGUAACUCAGUGGUAGAGUGCUCGCUUCGCAUUAUCCUAAUGCUAAUUUGCGAGAAGUCCAGGGUUCAACUCCCUGCUCGUCCA
rnacentral:tRNA from 1 species